rnacentral:rRNA from 1 species
GAUUAUGGCUCAGGAUGAACGCUGGCGGCGUGCCUAACACAUGCAAGUCGAGCGGAGAUGAUCGGAGAUUCUCGGAUGAUCUAUCAUCUUAGCGGCGGAUGGGUGAGUAACACGUGGGUAACCUGCCCUGCACAGGGGGAUAACAGCUGGAAACGGCUGUUAAUACCGCAUAUGCACACGCUGCCGCAUGGCAGGGGGUGGAAAGAUUUAUCGGUGCAGGAUGGGCCCGCGUCGGAUUAACUAGUUGGCAGGGUAACGGCCUACCAAGGUGAUGAUCCGUAGCCGACCUGAGAGGGUGACCGGCCACAUUGGGACUGAGACACGGCCCAAACUCCUACGGGAGGCAGCAGUGGGGGAUAUUGCACAAUGGGCGCAAGCCUGAUGCAGCGACGCCGCGUGAAGGAAGAAGUAUUUCGGUAUGUAAACUUCUAUCAGCGGGGAAGAAGAUGACGGUACCCGACUAAGAAGCCCCGGCUAACUACGUGCCAGCCGCCGC